ensembl:lncRNA
GCAUUCUGGGUAUUAUGGAUGGUGAGGGGUGAGAUCUGUCUCCAGCACACGCUCUCAUCCUCUCCAGGUGGAAAAGAAGGCAACGUGUCACAGUGUCUGCUGAUGCUGUUCUUCCUCAGGACGAGAGACGAGACAGCAGAGGACAACAACAACAACAACGGUAAACAGCGCGGGACAAAGCGCGCGAAGCCGGCAGACAGGACAGAGACCGAUGCACGACUGGAUGUGUUUGCUUCCUGUGAUCGCUGACAGUGGACAUACGCAGGGUUUCCCCCGUCCAGUGCGUCGAUCACCGUGAGCACCAAUGCCGAUAGCAGCAGUUAGAAGGAAGGUUUCGGCGCGGCUCAGCAUCCUCCUACAGCAUCGAGAGCUGCUCCAACGAACGCUGCAUGAACACGAGAUGUUUCGGAGGGCUUUCUAACUUGAAGCCGCCGCUCUGGGUUCCUGCGCUCCUCUCCCUCGCUCCCUCCGCCGAUUGAUAUUCGCGCCGAGCAGGCAGCCUGAGCCCCGGAGCUCAAAGGGUUCCGUAUCUGUGGUCCACGGCGCUGAAGAGGGUGGAACGCAGUGAAAUAAUAGAAAUCUUAAGAGGUGAGAAUCAAGAGUGGCUCCAGAACAAGUCAAGAGUGGCUAAGUGUCAACCGCCCUUGUGCUGCCUUGAAGUCCAUGUCGACGUGGCUGCCGCGAUGGGUGUCGCCCUGGUGUUUCUUCUCAGCGCUGUUGUGCUUCCCUCUGUGUCAGCUGGAGGUGUUUAUUGUGCUAAAACAGCCAGAGCCCGUGCAGCUGCCCUGGGUUUGUAUUACCCCGGCGUCUACGCACCAGCUCCGCCUGGGACGCGUCCCAGCAGCAGGCUGCUUGGACCUCAACCCUACCAGGACGGUCGUCCUUUGUGGAAAGAAACUGGACCCGACGCGGCUUCUCACGCAAACCGGCAACCCGACGUAAGAUUCCCAGAUGGCCGACCGCGUGAACCAACGCACCCCUGGAGUUGGCGCGGCGCUUCCCGUCCGGCUCAGCGUGACCACGCCGCCGGCCGAGCGCUCCCCAGAGGGCGCUCCGUCAUCUACCGCCAGCCCUAUUCUGAGGAGGUCAAGCGCGUUGUCCCUCCGACGGCGGCUGGAGCCCCGGGCCGGCCUGACCUUGUGGAUUGGCGUCCCCAAGGUCGCAGCCGGCCGCCCUCGCCUGUCUACGAUGGGCGCGACCACGCGGUUGACGAGUCUGUCCCAAAUGGACGUGACGUGUCUGUGAGGGGGCUCCCGCUGCCCCGAAGCGGGGGUCGUGGCGCUUACCCAAGCUCUAUUCCUGGACGCGGCCUGGCGAGAGAUGCCCCUGUCCUCCGCUCAUCCGGCUCCGCCGCCAGGGCGCCGUCCGGCCCAGAUCCCGGACCAGCCGGGAUUGGCCUGUCUGGCAGUCUUGCGCGUCCCCUGCGCAGACGCCUCCACGUCGAACAGCCUUUUGCAAGGUGACCCUGUUCAAGGACGUCGGGCGGAACGCAGCAUCGGGUCCAGUUGGAAUGAGUCGGGGAGCGUGACGCUUUGCCGUCGUCUUCCUGUGAGGAUCUGUUGAAGAUGGCAGGCGAGCAUUUUUUGACUGAUGAGAAAUGUGUUUGUCAGGUGUUCUCUAACUGUUUUUUUGUUUAUUGAACAAUGCUCAUCGUGUGUGUGUGUGUCUAUAUGCUUGUGCAUUGUCCCUUACUUGAAUGUAACACUAAAACUAGAUGCUUUCUUGAAUACACGUUGUAUUUUGCCUCUUUCUGCUCCCCCAUCAGAGAUGUGUUACCACAGUGCCAUCUGUUGGUUCUGAGGUGAAGUUCUUCCUUCGGCUCACAUUGUUUGAGCACAGAAGCUCGACAAACGCCCUCAUCUCUUUACGCUCUUCAUUUUGCCCAAUG